rnacentral:rRNA from 1 species
AAUAUUUCACAAUGGAGGGAACUCUGAUUCAGCAACGCCGCGUGAGUGAAGAAGGUGUUUGGAUCUUAAAACUCUGUCAUUGGGGAAGAAUAAAUGACGGUAGUCAAUGAUGAAGCCCCGGCUAACUCCUUUCUAGCAGCCGCGGUAAUACGUAGGGGGCGAGCGUUGUCCGGAAUUACUGGGCGUAAAGGGUACGUAGGCGGCUGUAUAAGUCAGGUGUGAAAUACCAGUGCUUAACACUGGAAUUGCAUUUGAAACUGGUGGGCUUGAGUAUCGGAGAGGGUAGUGGAAUUCCCAGUGUAGCGGUGGAAAGCGUAGAUAUUGGGAGGAAAACCAGUGGCGAAGGCGACUACCUGGACGAAAACUGACGCUGAGGCACGAAAGCUAGGGGAGCAAACA